GGGGCAGGCGGCGUGCUAUACAUGCAGUCGUACGCUUCUUUUUCCCCGGAGCUUGCUCCACCGGAAAAAGAAGAGUGGCGAACGGGUGAGUAACACGUGGGUAACCUGCCCAUCAGAAGGGGAUAACACUUGGAAACAGGUGCUAAUACCGUAUAACAAUCGAAACCGCAUGGUUUUGAUUUGAAAGGCGCUUUCGGGUGUCGCUGAUGGAUGGACCCGCGGUGCAUUAGCUAGUUGGUGAGGUAACGGCUCACCAAGGCCACGAUGCAUAGCCGACCUGAGAGGGUGAUCGGCCACAUUGGGACUGAGACACGGCCCAAACUCCUACGGGAGGCAGCAGUAGGGAAUCUUCGGCAAUGGACGAAAGUCUGACCGAGCAACGCCGCGUGAGUGAAGAAGGUUUUCGGAUCGUAAAACUCUGUUGUUAGAGAAGAACAAGGAUGAGAGUAACUGUUCAUCCCUUGACGGUAUCUAACCAGAAAGCCACGGCUAACUACGUGCCAGCAGCCGCGGUAAUACGUAGGUGGCAAGCGUUGUCCGGAUUUAUUGGGCGUAAAGCGAGCGCAGGCGGUUUCUUAAGUCUGAUGUGAAAGCCCCCGGCUCACCCGGGGAGGGUCAUUGGAAACUGGGAGACUUGAGUGCAGAAGAGGAGAGUGGAAUUCCAUGUGUAGCGGUGAAAUGCGUAGAUAUAUGGAGGAACACCAGUGGCGAAGGCGGCUCUCUGGUCUGUAACUGACGCUGAGGCUCGAAAGCGUGGGGAGCAAACAGGAUUAGAUACCCUGGUAGUCCACGCCGUAAACGAUGAGUGCUAAGUGGUUGGAGGGUUUCCGCCCUUCAGUGCUGCAGCUAACGCAUUAAGCACUCCGCCUGGGGGAGUACGACCCGCAAGGUUGAAACUCAAAAGGAAUU
rnacentral:rRNA from 1 species